GUGGCGCAUGCCACGCUUUUGAAAGAUGGUUUCGGCUAUCGCUUACAGAUGGGCCCGCGGUGCAUUAGCUAGUUGGUAGGGUAAUGGCCUACCAAGGCAACGAUGCAUAGCCGACCUGAGAGGGUGAUCGGCCACACUGGGACUGAGACACGGCCCAGACUCCUACGGGAGGCAGCAGUAGGGAAUCUUCCGCAAUGGACGAAAGUCUGACGGAGCAACGCCGCGUGUAUGAAGAAGGUUUUCGGAUCGUAAAGUACUGUUGUUAGAGAAGAACAAGGAUAAGAGUAACUGCUUGUCCCUUGACGGUAUCUAACCAGAAAGCCACGGCUAACUACGUGCCAGCAGCCGCGGUAAUACGUAGGUGGCAAGCGUUGUCCGGAUUUAUUGGGCGUAAAGCGCGCGCAGGCGGUCUUUUAAGUCUGAUGUGAAAGCCCCCGGCUUAACCGGGGAGGGUCAUUGGAAACUGGAAGACUGGAGUGCAGAAGAGGAGAGUGGAAUUCCACGUGUAGCGGUGAAAUGCGUAGAUAUGUGGAGGAACACCAGUGGCGAAGGCGACUCUCUGGUCUGUAACUGACGCUGAGGCGCGAAAGCGUGGGGAGCAAACAGGAUU
rnacentral:rRNA from 1 species